rnacentral:rRNA from 1 species
CGAGUUUGAUCCUGGCUCAGGACGAACGCUGGCGGCGUGCCUAAUACAUGCAAGUCGAACGCACUCUCGUUAGAUUGAAGAAGCUUGCUUCUGAUUGAUAACAUUUGAGUGAGUGGCGGACGGGUGAGUAACACGUGGGUAACCUGCCCUAAAGUGGGGGAUAACAUUUGGAAACAGAUGCUAAUACUGCAUAAAACCUAGCACCGCAUGGUGCAAGGUUGAAAGAUGGUUUCGGCUAUCACUUUAGGAUGGACCCGCGGUGCAUUAGUUAGUUGGUGAGGUAAAGGCUCACCAAGACCGUGAUGCAUAGCCGACCUGAGAGGGUAAUCGGCCACACUGGGGACUGAGACACGGCCCAGGCUCCUACGGGAGGCAGCAGUAGGGAAUCUUCCACAAUGGACGGAAGUCUGAUGGAGCAACGCCGCGUGAGUGAAGAAAGUUUUCGGAUCGUAAAACUCUGUUGUUGGAGAAGAACGUAUUUGAUAGUAACUGAUCAGGUAGUGACGGUAUCCAACC